rnacentral:rRNA from 1 species
AUUGAACGCUGGCGGCAUGCCUUACACAUGCAAGUCGAACGGCAGCACGGGAGCAAUCCUGGUGGCGAGUGGCGAACGGGUGAGUAAAGUAUCGGAACGUGCCCAGUCGUGGGGGAUAACGUAGCGAAAGUUACGCUAAUACCGCAUACGAUCUAUGGAUGAAAGCGGGGGAUCGCAAGACCUCGCGCGAUUGGAGCGGCCGAUAUCAGAUUAGGUAGUUGGUGGGGUAAAGGCCCACCAAGCCGAAGAUCUGUGGCUGGUCUGAGAGGACGACCAGCCACACUGGGACUGAGACACGGCCCAGACUCCUACGGGAGGCAGCAGUGGGGAAUUUUGGACAAUGGGCGAAAGCCUGAUCCAGCCAUGCCGCGUGCAGGAUGAAGGCCUUCGGGUUGUAAACUGCUUUUGUACGGAACGAAAAGGACUGCCCUAAUACGGUGGUCCCAUGACGGUACCGUAAGAAUAAGCACCGGCUAACUACGUGCCAGCCGCCGCAGUAAUAC